rnacentral:rRNA from 1 species
GUUAGGAAUAUUGCGCAAUGGAGGCAACUCUGACGCAGCCAUGCCGCGUGCAGGAAGAAGGCGCUACGCGUUGUAAACUGCUUUUAACCGGGAAGAAACCCCAGGACGUGUCCUGGGUUGACGGUACCGGAGGAAUAAGCACCGGCUAACUCCGUGCCAGCAGCCGCGGUAAUACGGAGGGUGCAAGCGUUAUCCGGAUUUAUUGGGUUUAAAGGGUGCGUAGGCGGAGCGUUAAGUCAGUGGUGAAAUCCUGCAGCUUAACUGUAGACUUGCCAUUGAUACUGGCGCUCUUGAGUGCGCUUGAAGUGGGCGGAAUGUGCCGUGUAGCGGUGAAAUGCUUAGAUAUGGCACAGAACACCAAUUGCGAAGGCAGCUCACUAAGGCGAUACUGACGCUGAGGCACGAAAGCGUGGGGAUCGAACAGGAUUAGAAACCCGAGUAGUCC